rnacentral:rRNA from 1 species
GGCUCAGGAUGAACGCUAGCGGCAGGCUUAACACAUGCAAGUCGAGGGGCAUCGGGAGUAGCAAUACUUGCCGGCGACCGGCGCAAGGGUGCGUAACGCGUGAGCAACAUGCCCGUAUCAGGGGGAUAAUCCAUGGAAACGUGGUCUAAUACCCCAUAGUAAUUAUGUAAGGCAUCUUAUAUAAUUUAAAGCUUUGGUGGAUACGGAUUGGCUCGCGUGACAUUAGCUAGAUGGUAAGGUAACGGCUUACCAUGGCUACGAUGUCUAGGGGUUCUGAGAGGAAGGUCCCCCACACUGGAACUGAGACACGGUCCAGACUCCUACGGGAGGCAGCAGUGAGGAAUAUUGGACAAUGGAUGGAAAUCUGAUCCAGCCAUGCCGCGUGCAAGGAAGACGGCCCUAUGGGUUGUAAACUGCUUUUGUAUGGGAGCAAUAAGGGCUACGUGUAGUCCGAUGAGAGUACCAUACGAAUAAGCACCGGCUAACUCCGUGCCAGCCGCCGC